AAGCGAGCUGCGCUGCUCAGUCGAGCAUAGCAAGUGGGUGUGUGCGCCUGGAACACCGCAGUAGCAGAGUGUGUUUUUGUGUCUAGUGGCUAUUAGCCAUAAAGCGUGGCUAGCGCUUUGCUAGCGAGUGAGUACUUCAUGGCUUUGUAUGGACUGUGAAGCCCGCUGAGGACUCCGGAUAGCACGCUGGGGAGCGGAGGGGCACGGCAGCGCCUAGGACACCGAAGGAAACCAGCUGUUUCCAUCGUCAUCACCGCCGAGACGGGAUAUUUUGACUUUCUCUCAUCUUGAGACUGAGGCGGGAUUGUUUCUGUGCCAUCGGAGUAAGGACUUGGACUUUUCUCUGGGUUGGUGCCCCCCUCCCAUUGCUGCUGGACAUGUACAGGAAGCACUGCAUCUGCAGAGCGGCAGCCAUCUUCAAGGACACUCACCACCCUUCUCACAGCCUGUUCUCCCUGCUGCCAUCUGGAAAUAGACUCAGGAGUAUCUGCUGUAAGACGAGUAGAUUCAUAAACAGCUUUUUCCUCCAGGCUGUGAGAGCACUAAACUCUGAAACGAACACUUGCACACUGAACAAACUGAACUGAACUAACCCGCUGUUAAAAAACUCUGACUGUUCUGCACACUUAUUGCACAUUUGCUCAACGUUGCUGCCGUUGUUUGUUUUUUAAAAAAAAUCUAUUUAUUAUUAUGUGAUUUCUUAUGUUUUUAUAUUUUAUGACCUGAUUUUGCACUGCUUUUAACCUAGGAGUACACUAUUUUGU